rnacentral:misc_RNA from 1 species
UGUCCAGAACUCCGACAAACACGUCACAGCACCUCCUCUUGCGUUGCCACCCACUCUCUCACACACACCUGCACGCACACAAUCGCGGGCGUGCACGCAUCUAUCUGGGUGCUUUCGCCGUUCCCUGCCUGCUCAUCCCUUCGCCUUCUUCUAACGACUUUACACAAUCUUCACCCCAUCCUCUCCCUCACCCCCUCUUCCUUUCUGUGUCUAUCGCUACGGGUUGUAGUGACGCAUCGCUCGCCUCCGCACACAACCCCGCAAACACCGCAGCAGCGCUCCUGGCUCCACACUUUCCCUCUGCUGCUUUUCCUUUUGUUUCUGCCGUCCUCGUGCUCUUCACGCCAGGCCACUCAUCCUCUCCAUAAUAACGGGCUCUGAGGGAAAGCACCGGGUCCUUUACGCCCCUCCCUUUCACCUUUCGGGUCUCUCUCUUUCUCUUACUCCGCACUUCUCCGGCCCCCAUCACCGACGCCGUCGCUCCUCGUCUGCACGCCUCCUGCUUUGCUCGUCUUGUUGUCCCCUAUAUAUGUCUCGACGCGCAGCAAGAUGCCGGUCGGCAACGCUACCCCCGCCCCUCCCUCACGCGCGAACCACGCUGGUGUGUGUGUGUGUGGCUGUGUCUUCCACCUUCUCUUCCCUGUUAGUCUAUUCUGCCUUUCCGUUUGGUAACCUCUCCCUCUUCUCUUCUCGGACGUCUCUGCACCCCCACCCGCUCAUGACUUGCGGGAUGGGGAGGGGCCACUUCAGCGUGGCAUCUCAGGACACAGGGGGGGGGGCGCUCGCUCUCUCUCUCUGUGUGCGGAGGAGCGAAGCAGCCCCCCACCGCCCACCCUCUUCGCUAUCCCUGCCAAUGCGAGGCCACUUCUGGUGGUGGCAAGCUCAAACGCGCCCUCAUGAUGUGUCGGAGGCGCCAGAGCGAUGCGUCGCUGCUGACGCCGGCGGCCAGGUCCCGGAGUGGGGCGGUGUCGGUGCGACCUGCGACCGUGAACACGUCUGUGCCGCCCACAUCGAUGGGCAAAGCGCCAGCGGGAGUCGAGCGAAUCCCACCCAACCCUCACACCGCCCACUGCGGGGGGGGGGCCGGGGUGUCGCCCCGCGAGGGGUGCACCGCAGGGGUGGCGGCCGGCAUAACGGGCUGGCUGUGAGGCGGCCUGCACAGCGGCGGGUGCCGGGUGGAGAGAAGCUUGGCUCAUGUUAUACGACAGAGAGCGGACACGUUGGACAAAAGCCGUUUGUGUGUUCACUGAUCUCUCUUUGGCCUCUUCACCUGACUUUCGUUUCUGGUCUGCGCUCCAG